CUCAGCUACAGUCAUUCUCUCAAGUGAUCUGGUGUUUGGGAGACCCCCAGGAUCUGAACAGACCCUGGAGGGACACCCUCUAUGCCCCAAUGCCAUUCUGAUCAGUGCUGGGUAUUUUCAGUUGCCCAGCACAGAUCGCAUUGCAUUGGGCAUAAUGUCUUCAAUGUAAGAGAUGGGAGACUGCAAUACUGAAAAUAGCCAGUAGAUGGCAGCAACAUACCACUGGGAUAAAUUCAACAGUUAAACUGCUACAAUGCCCGAAAAUAAGACUUGCCCCCAUCAAAUUCAUCUAUCAAAAUUAUAACUGUGAAAACUGAAAUGGUCAGGUCUCUUUUAUGGCACUGUAACUUCACAGGAUAGUGGCAAAGGCAUAGAUUGGGGGUAUCGUUUUACUCAGUUGAUAUGGCUGAAAACAAUACGGGGUUUUCU